rnacentral:rRNA from 1 species
ACAGCAGCCGCCGCGGGAAUACAGAGGUCUCAAGCGUUGUUCGGAUUCAUUGGGCGUAAAGGGAGCGUAGGCGGUCGGGUAAGUCGGAUGUGAAAUCCUGGGGCUCAACCUCAGAACUGCGUUCGAUACUGCUUGGCUAGAGGACUGGAGAGGUGAGUGGAAUUCACGGUGUAGCAGUGAAAUGCGUAGAUAUCGUGAGGAAGACCAGCGGCGAAGGCGGCUCACUGGACAGUUUCUGACGCUGAUGCUCGAAGGCCAGGGGAGCAAACGGGAUUAGAUACCCCGGUAGUCCCUGUCUCUUAUAC